AUAGAAUGGUUCUGUAAGGCGCUCUGGAUAAGAGCGUCUGCUAAAUGACUCAAA
rfam:Salmo salar isolate Sally breed double haploid chromosome ssa23, whole genome shotgun sequence.